rnacentral:rRNA from 1 species
GACGAACGCUGGCGGCGUGCUUAACACAUGCAAGUCGAGCGAUGAAGUUCCUUCGGGAAUGGAUUAGCGGCGGACGGGUGAGUAACACGUGGGUAACCUGCCUCAUAGAGGGGAAUAGCCUUUCGAAAGGAAGAUUAAUACCGCAUAAGAUUGUAGUGCCGCAUGGCAUAGCAAUUAAAGGAGCAAUCCGCUAUGAGAUGGACCCGCGUCGCAUUAGCUAGUUGGUGAGGUAACGGCUCACCAAGGCGACGAUGCGUAGCCGACCUGAGAGGGUGAUCGGCCACAUUGGGACUGAGACACGGCCCAGACUCCUACGGGAGGCAGCAGUGGGGAAUAUUGCACAAUGGGGGAAACCCUGAUGCAGCAACGCCGCGUGAGUGAUGACGGUCUUCGGAUUGUAAAACUCUGUCUUCAGGGACGAUAAUGACGGUACCUGAGGAGGAAGCCACGGCUAACUACGUGCCAGCAGCCGCAGUAACAC